UACGGGGGGAGCAAGCGUUGUUCGGAUUUACUGGGCGUAAAGGGCGCGUAGGCGGCCAGCGCAAGUCAGUUGUGAAAUCUCCGGGCUUAACUCGGAACGGUCAACUGAUACUGCGCGGCUAGAGUGCGGAAGGGGCAACUGGAAUUCUCGGUGUAGCGGUGAAAUGCGUAGAUAUCUGGAGGAACACCGGUGGCGAAGGCGGCAUCCUGGACCGGCAUUGACGCUGAGGCGCGAAAGCCAGGGGAGCAAACGGG
rnacentral:rRNA from 1 species